rnacentral:rRNA from 1 species
UACGGAGGAUGCGAGCGUUAUCCGGAUUUAUUGGGUGUAAAGGGAGCGUAGGCGGCGAUGCAAGUCAGAAGUGAAAGCCCGGGGCUCAACUCCGGGACUGCAUUUGGAACUGUGCUGCUAGAGUGUCGGAGAGGCAGGCGGAAUUCCUAGUGUAGCGGUGAAAUGCGUAGAUAUUAGGAGGAACACCAGUGGCGAAGGCGGCCUGCUGGACGAUGACUGACGUUGAGGCUCGAAAGCAUGGGUAGCGAACAGG